rnacentral:rRNA from 1 species
CCCUUAGAUGCCCGGGGCUGCACGCGCGCUACACUGGAGAAAUCAGCAUGCCUUCAUACCUGGCCCGAAAGGGUCGGGUAACCCGCUGAAACUUCUCCGUGAUUGGGAUAGGGAAUUGCAAUUAUUUCCCUUGAACGAGGAAUUCCUAGUAAGCACGGGUCAUAAGCUCGUACUGAUUACGUCCCUGCCCUUUGUACACACCGCCCGUCGCUGCCCGGGACUGAGCCGUUUCGAGAAAAGCGGGGACUGCUGCUGUCGGGGCUUUCGGGCCUUGGCUUCGGUGGAAACCGCUUUAAUCGCAGUGGCUUGAACCGGGCAAAAGUCGUANCA